rnacentral:rRNA from 1 species
CAGUAGCCGCGGUAAUACAAAGGGGGCUAGCGUUGCUCGGAAUGACUGGGCGUAAAGGGCGCGUAGGCGGUUUUGACGGUCAGAUGUGAAAUUCCUGGGCUUAACCUGGGGGCUGCAUUUGAGACGUCAAGACUAGAGUGUGAGAGAGGGUUGUGGAAUUCCCAGUGUAGAGGUGAAAUUCGUAGAUAUUGGGAAGAACACCGGUGGCGGAGGCGGCAACCUGGCUCAUUACUGACGCUGAGGCGCGGAAGCGUGGGGAGCAAACAGGAUUGGAUACCCGAGUAGUCCCUGUCUCUUAUAC